AAACGGAUGAGAAUGGUGAACAGCCAAGUGCCACAAACUUGGAGGGAACAAACUUAAAAAUCGAUAUCACUGAUGAGCUUGGUCAGAUUGCUGCUCUGGAGAUAAAGUAUCAAUGUACAAAGCAGGAAGUUGAGAGGGCGGUUGUUGCUUGGGAAGGCGAUUUGGAGAAAGCAGAAGCUACUUUGAAGACACAACAAACUGGCAAAAACACAGCCCCAGUUAAAGAUUCAAGCAAUAAGCCGGUGGCCCCCAUUCAAAAUCCUGCUGGGAGAGCAACAGUUAA
rnacentral:misc_RNA from 1 species